rnacentral:sRNA from 1 species
AGAAGAAGAAGGAAAAAAAACAAAGAAAA